UACAGAGGUCUCAAGCGUUGUUCGGAUUCAUUGGGCGUAAAGGGUGCGUAGGCGGCGCGGUAAGUCGGGUGUGAAAUCUCGGAGCUUAACUCCGAAACUGCAUUCGAUACUGCCGUGCUUGAGGACUGGAGAGGAGACUGGAAUUUACGGUGUAGCGGUGAAAUGCGUAGAUAUCGUAAGGAAGACCAGUGGCGAAGGCGGGUCUCUAGACAGUUCCUGACGCUGAGGCACGAAGGUCAGGGGGAGCAAACGGG
rnacentral:rRNA from 1 species